CGGGUGGGAGUGGCAGACGGGUGAGUAACACGUGGGAACGUACCCUUUGGUUCGGGACAACUCUGGGAAACUGGAGCUAAUACCGGAUACGCCCUUUUGGGGAAAGGUUUACUGCCGAAGGAUCGGCCCGCGUCUGAUUAGCUAGUUGGUGGGGUAACGGCCUACCAAGGCGACGAUCAGUAGCUGGUCUGAGAGGAUGAUCAGCCACACUGGGACUGCGACACGGCCCAGACUCCUACGGGAGGCAGCAGUGGGGAAUAUUGGACAAUGGGCGCAAGCCUGAUCCAGCCAUGCCGCGUGAGUGAUGAAGGCCUUAGGGUUGUAAAGCUCUUUUAUCCGGGACGAUAAUGACGGUACCGGAGGAAUAAGCCCCGGCUAACUUCGUGCCAGCAGCCGCGGUAAUACGAAGGGGGCUAGCGUUGCUCGGAAUCACUGGGCGUAAAGGGCGCGUAGGCGGCGUUUUAAGUCGGGGGUGAGAGCCUGUGGCUCAACCACAGAAUGGCCUUCGAUACUGGGACGCUUGAGUCUGGUAGAGGUUGGUGGAACUGCGAGUGUAGAGGUGAAAUUCGUAGAUAUUCGCAAGAACACCGGUGGCGAAGGCGGCCA
rnacentral:rRNA from 1 species